UUUCAUUUUGCCUUCUCAUCGACGGAAAGGAAGAGAUAAAGGGAUGAUAAAGUUGUGAAACGCCAGUCUGACUUUUCAAGUGUAACUCAGCAUCUCAGCUUGCAUAUACUCCUCAUUUACAGUGCUCCGAGUUACAUCCAAAUGGUGUGA